rnacentral:lncRNA from 1 species
CUUAGGGAACAAGCAUUAAACUGACACUCGAUUCUGUAGCCGGCUCUGCCAAGAGACAUGGCGUUGCGGUGAUAUGAGGGCAGGGGUCAUGGAAGAAAGCCUUCUGGUUUUAGACCCACAGGAAGAUCUGUGACGCGCUCUUGGGUAGAGCACACGUUGCUGGGCGUGCGCUUGAAAAGAGCCUAAGAAGAGGGGGCGUCUGGAAGGAACCGCAACGCCAAGGGAGGGUGUCCAGCCUUCCCGCUUCAACACCUGGACACAUUCUGGAAAGUUUCCUAAGAAAGCCAGAAAAAUAAUUUAAAAAAAAAUCCAGAGGCCAGACGGGCUAAUGGGGCUUUACUGCGACUAUCUGGCUUAAUCCUCCAAACAACCUUGCCAUACCAGCCCAUCAGUCCUCUGAGACAGGCAAGCCCAAGAAAGUCAGGGGCCUAUGUGAGCCAAAGAGGAGAGAAGGUGAUGCCUCAGCCCAGUGUUUCUGCCCCACCUCGCUUGUGGCCUUCGGAACUUGAUUUGCACCGCAGGAAAAUGGGCAAUGAAAACCCCUCCCUAACUGGCUUCUCAGUCCACUCUGACCAGCCCACUGCACAGCGCCCACCCUGCAGCUCCAGAUGAGGCCUCACUCUGUCACCCAGGUUGGGGUGGAGUGGCACAGUCACAGCUCACUAUAACCUCAAGCUCCUGGGCUCAAGUGAUCCUGCCACCUCAGCCUCCUAAGUAGCUGGAACUACAGAUGUGCACUGCCAUGCCAGGCUUGUCUAACAUUUUUAUGUGUUGCUUCAUCCAGUUUGCUAGAGUUUUUGGAGAUUUCUGUCUUCAUUCAUGAGGGAUAAUAGUCUGCACUUUUAUUUUCUUGUGAUACUUUUGUCUGAUUUGUUAUCUGGGUAAUACUGGCCUUGAAAAUGAAUUGAUGUUUUCCUGCU